CGGCGGACGGGUGAGUAACAYGUGGGUAACCUGCCUGUAAGACUGGGAUAACUCCGGGAAACCGGGGCUAAUACYGGAUGCUUGUUUGAACCGCAUGGUUCAAACAUAAAAGGUGGCUUCGGCUACCACUUACAGAUGGACCCGCGGCGCAUUAGCUAGUUGGUGAGGUAAUGGCUCACCAAGGCAACGAUGCGUAGCCGACCUGAGAGGGUGAUCGGCCACACUGGGACUGAGACACGGCCCAGACUCCUACGGGAGGCAGCAGUAGGGAAUCUUCCGCAAUGGACGAAAGUCUGACGGAGCAACGCCGCGUGAGUGAUGAAGGUUUUCGGAUCGUAAAGCUYUGKUGYUAGGGAAKAACMAGWACCGUUCGAAUAKGGCGGWACCUUGACGGUACCUAAC
rnacentral:rRNA from 1 species